rnacentral:lncRNA from 1 species
UUCAGCAAGUGCCCCCUUAAGCACGCUCACCCCUGAUCCUCCUAGCCAGCUGGAUAUCCUUGGGCAUGAUGGUGACACGUUUGGCAUGGAUGGCACAAAGGUUGGUGUCUUCGAACAGCCCAACAAGGUAUGCCUCCGCUGCCUCUUGCAGUGCCAAGACAGCAUGGCUUUGGAAACGCAGAUCAGUCUGCACACCAAAAAAAUAGAAAAUGCACUACCAUUAGCAUCCAAACACCAAAUCCACAUCCAUAAACACUAUCAAGAUAAUAACUACCGAAUCAAUAAAUCAU